rnacentral:rRNA from 1 species
CUUAAAUGAAUUGACGGGGCCGCACAAGCGGUGGAGCAUGUGGUUAAUUCGACGCAACGCGAAGAACCUUACCAGGGCUUGACAUCCCCUGACCGCGUAUGAAAGUACGUUUUCACCCUCGGGUGACAGGGAGAUAGGUGGUGCAUGGUUGUCGUCAGCUCGUGUCGUGAGAUGUUGGGUUAAGUCCCGCAACGAGCGCAACCCCUACGUUUAGUUGCUAACGCGUGAAGGCGAGCACUCUAGACGAACUGCCGUUGACAAAACGGAGGAAGGUGGGGAUGACGUCAAAUCAUCAUGCCCCUUAUGUUCUGGGCUACACACGUGCUACAAUGGCCGGUACAGACGGACGCAAAGCCGCGAGGUGGAGCAAAUCCUAAAAAGCCGGUCUCAGUUCGGAUUGCAGGCUGCAAUUCGCCUGCAUGAAGUCGGAAUCGCUAGUAAUCGCAGGUCAGCAUACUGCGGUCGAAUACGUUCCCGGGCCUU